UUAGAAAGUUAAAAAAACAGGGAGUCUACAAUUGCAACCACAACAAUAGCUACUCUGUAGAUCAGACCACAAAGCAGAAGCUCUCAGAGCUGUUAGAACUACUUGAACUCCCAUUACUCCUGGACAACAGCAAUAACUAUACAAUUCAACAGUCCAUAAAACAGUUAUUUAAUGGGAUAAACUGAUUCAAACAUAAUUUAAAAUUAGCAUAGUAACAGAAAUACUUGAAUAUUCUAAUUGUCAGUUACGUUGAACACUCUAUAUAUGCAGACCUUCUGAUUUAACAAUGUGCAGUCAAACCACACAUUAACUACAUUGUCACUUUUAAC